CAGAAACAGGUGAGAAUGACCACUUUAACUCACCGGGCUCAUCGCACUGAAGUAGGCAAGAACUCUGAAAAGAAGUUGGAAAGUGAGGAAGACACUAAUCAAGACAGGAGCCCAGACCAUGAAGACUCUGGUGACUCUAAGGAUAUUCACCUCACCCUUAUGGAAGAAGUAUUGCUCCUGGGACUAAAGAUAAAGAGGGCUACACAUCUUUCUGGAAUGACUGCGUAUCAUCUGGCCUGCGAGGGGUAUCCUGAUAGAGCUGGCCAUGCAGGGCUGCAUCUAUCCGGAACCCCCCACGAUGCGUAAGAAGCAACUACUAGACAGAAAGUACUGCUAAAGUCAGAUAGCCCAACAGGGGAUGUGUUACUGGAUGAAACUCUCAAACACAUCAAAGCAACUGAACCCACAGAAACCAUCCAGACAUAGAUAGAGCUACUCACAGGUGAGACCUGGAACCCCUUCAAAUUACAGUACCAGCUGAGAAAUGUAAGAGAGCGAAUUGCAAAGAACCUAGUAGAAAAGGGUAUUCUAACCACUGAGAAGCAGAAUUUCCUCCUAUUUGAUAUGACUACUCAUCCAGUGACCAAUACAACAGAGAAACAACGACUAGUCAAAAAAUUUCAAGAUAGUGUCCUAGAGCAGUGGGAAAAUGACCCUCAGCAUAUGGACAAGCAAACAUUAGCACUCCUGGUGCUAGCCCACUCCUCUGAUGUGCUAGAGAAUGUCUUAUCCUCUCUGACUGAUGACAAGUAUGAUGUGGCAAUGAAUCGAGCCAAGGAUCUACUAGAACUGGACCCUGAAGUGGAGGGGACAAAGCACAGUGCCACGGAGAUGAUCUGGGCUGUGCUGGCAGCCUUCAAUAAAUCCUAAAGCCAGUGGGUGGGUUUCUCCUUUUCCCCUGCUGGCUGGUGACUGUCAGAGACAUCACACUGAGUUUUGUGUGAUGAGAUGUUUUUCAUCAUUUUUUUCCUUCUCUUGAAUCAGAUUUGUGAUUUGGGGAGAGCAGCUUCAGGGCUUCUCCAUAAACUUUGGCCAUUGUAAACAGACUUUAUUUCUCCUUAUUUUUCCACGACAGAGGUGAAUAAACUAGGU